UGACAUGUUUGUUUGUUUGGUCCGGCCGUGAUUAUGUAACUGCCUCUGUUUUCUCUGUGCACUGGUGUCCCUAUCCAAGUCUCCAGAAAUAGGACAGCAGCCAUUCCAGGUAGCAGGGGAAUGGCCCUUCCUCACUUUCUGACGAUUUUUUUUUACGCUCUUCUGUCUUUGGGGAAAGCGGCAGGCUAAGGAAAACCGGGAAGCCACGCAGACCUCUGCCUGUGACACAGCACGUGGGCUGGCCUCUGGCAACUGACAGAGGGAACAUUGCUGCUGAUGCGAAGAAAAGUCAUCAGAGAUUCUAAAAAAUAACGGUAAAUAUAGCUAUGGCGGAUAAGCAAGGAGGGACAGGAGGUGACCAAGGCCACAGUGGGGAGAGACCUAGCAGAGAGAGCACCCACCUCAAUCAGGCCACAGCCGGGACGGAGGUUCUGAGCCACGUCUCCUGAGUUCAUUUACUCGGUGGAAGUCAAUCUUAAUUGUCAAUUCGAUGAGAUUUUUAAUCGCCAUGGAAACAGACCUCUGAGCAUGUCACGGAGACAGUUUCUAUAUCAGGUUAAUCGAGGUACAUCUGAGGUACAACAGUCUACCUCAUAGUGGCCUCUGACAGUCCAAAGCACGAGCGGUCAUUGCCAGGGCAGCUCCAUUGUCUGCCAGAGCCCUCUCUGCUCUGCUUAUAGCUGUCUCAUGCCAGCCGAGUCGCUUCAGCAUGCAGGUGCCUGCCUCUGCUCACCCCCUGUCAGUUCCCAGGUAUGGCAUGAAGGGUAAUGCCCCGGUGUCUCUAAUGACAGUCAUCACCUACCUCACAGUUCUAGGAGCCUCGUGUCUGAGUCUGAGGUAUAAGCAAGAUCCUACACUUCCACGGCCCUAGGAGAGGAUCCUUCAUGCCUCUCCCAGCUACUGGUGAAGGUCACAGUUUGAUCAUCUGACUUAAGGACCCAGUGCCCUGCCAUCUACCCGUUUCUUCACAUGUAGGCAGCUAUGCCCAAACAGUCUCCUUAUGUCAGAGACACCAGGAUGCCCCCCGUAAAAAAUUUUCUUCUUUAAGUUGCCUUGGUCAUUGUGUCUAAGUAGCUAAGACACCUUGCUCGGUUUUAAACUCACUCAUUCAAAACCAAAACCAUAGCUUUCAUAAACCAUUCUCUGGACUGUACAGAACAACUCCUUAAGGCAAACACAUAUCUGUGGAUUCUAUAUAUGGCCAAGCAGGGAAAACCACCGGAUGACUCUCCCAGUAGUCAUGUAGGAAAGGGAGCCUCAUGCCACCCAUCAACAGCAAGCAAAGUGGCUUCAUCCACUCCUGUUCUCAGCGACUAUUUGCUAACCACUGCACAGCAGGCUCUAUUUAAAGAGCAGAGAACCACUCAGAUGGGCCAGACACCUGCUCCCAUGAGCAAGGUCCUAGCACAGACCUGAGGCUCAUGGAUUGUGAGUUGAUGUGAGGAGGACUUACCACACUCUAUUGAGCCUCUCUGCUGGGACACACAUGGAAGAAGUUGAUGAGAGUGGUCUUGACUCCAGUUUAAAAAUGUCAGCAUCACUCAGGAGAAACCAUCAGGGCUAUAGAACAUGGUAUUCUGAAGUCAGAAAGGACUGAGUGGGCUGGACAUCCAGUAAUAGAGAACCUGCUGCAGAGAGGAAUGAAGGGUACCAGAGAUCAAACGGAUGGAAGGAGUGGACCACACUCAGGGAGGUCCCACUUCCUCCCCAUCCCUCUACAGUCACUCUCAUGACUGUGGGCAAUGACCUCUUACUUACAGAAACAGGUCCCUGGCUUCACUGGGCCCAUAGGCCAUAGUUUAUGGACAGGCUUUGGUCUAUGACAUUAGUAGAAAAAAACAUCAUGGUUCGAAGAGUACACACCUCUGUCACAUGCUUUGGCAGCCCUCACAUGUACAUGCGGCAAUGUCUUUCAGAAAAGGGAGUUCUCUAUCAGGUUUCCAACGGGGAGGCUUACGGAAAUUCAGGAGGUCUGUGACGCCUUUAAAAUUAUAAGCAAACCUUUAUGCAACUGCUUUCCAGAGAUUUGUAAUCCAUAAUGGCCUGGUGCCCAGAAGGCUAAGGGCAAAUGCAAAACAAAGAAAGAGAGAGAGAGAGAGAGAGAGAGAGAGAGAGAGAGAGAGAGAGGAAGGAAGGAAGGAAGGAA
rnacentral:lncRNA from 1 species